rnacentral:rRNA from 1 species
AAUCCCCCGCAAGGGGGGGAAGCGGCGGACGGGGCAGGAGUGCGCGGGCGACCUAUCCGGGGGUCGGGCAUAGCCCGUCGAGAGACGGGGUAAUUCCCGAUGACGUCGUAAGACCAAAGGUCCGCCGCCCCCGGCGGGGCCCGCGCGGUAUUAGCUGGUUGGUGGGGUGACGGCCCACCAAGGCGUAGAUGCCUGGCGGGUGUGAGAGCACGACCCGCGCCACUGGCACUGAGACACUGGCCAGACACCUACGGGUGGCUGCAGUCGAGGAUCUUCGGCAAUGCGCGCAAGCGCGACCGAGCGACGCCGCGUGGGCGACGAAGGCCUUCGGGUUGUAAAGCCCUGUCGGGGGGGAGAAAGCCGCAAGGUUGAUCUAUCCCCGGAGGAAGCACGGGCUAAGUUCGUGCCAGCAGCCGCGGUAAGACGAACCGUGCGAACGUUGUUCGGAAUCACUGGGCUUAAAGGGCGCGUAGGCGGGCCGGACGGUCCGCGGUGAAAUCCCCCCGCUCAACGGGGGAACGGCCGCGGAUACCGCCGGCCUCGAGGGGGGUAGGGGCGAGCGGAACGCUGGGUGGAGCGGUGAAAUGCGUUGAUAUCCAGCGGAACUCCGGUGGCGAAGGCGGCUCGCUGGACCCCCACUGACGCUGAGGCGCGAAAGCCAGGGGAGCGAACGGGAUUAGAUACCCCGGUAGUCCUGGCCCUAAACGAUGGGGACUAGGUAGUCGGCCGGCAUGGGCUGACUGCCGGAGCCAAAGUGCUAAGUCCCCCGCCUGGGGAGUAUGGCCGCAAGGCUGAAACUC